AUGACUCUGAUCUGCGUCCUCAUCUGGACUCUCCUCUGCUGCUGCUUCACAGAGUCCAGAGGUCAGGUCACAGUGACUCAGCCUGGAUCAGUGACUUCUGCUCUGGGAGGCUCCGUCACCAUCAGCUGUAAAACCAGCCAGAAUGUUUAUAACUCCAACAAUUUAGCCUGGUACCAACAGAGAGAUGGAGGAACUCCAAAACUGCUCUUUUAUUAUGUUGGUAGUCGAGUAUCAGGAACACCAAGUCGUUUUACAGAUGGUGGAUCAAACUCUGACUUCACUCUGACCAUCAGUGGAGUUCAGGCUGAAGAUGCAGCAGUUUAUUACUGUCAGAGUGCUCAUCACAUCAACACUCUUUGGUCUUGGCCGUUUGGUGGAGGAACCAGACUGGAUGUUGGAAGUGAUGUCCGUCCCUCCCUGACAGUCCUGUCCAGUGGGGAGCUGCAGCAGGGGACGGCCACACUCAUGUGUCUGGCCAACAAGGGCUUCCCCUCAGACUGGAGUCUGUCCUGGAAGGUGGACGGCAGCAGCAGCAGCAGCAGCUGGGAGGAGAGCAGGAGCCCCGGGGUGCUGCAGGAGGACGGCCACUACAGCUGGAGCAGCACCCUGAGACUCCCUGCAGACCAGUGGACCAAGGCGCUCUCUGUGACCUGUGAGGCCACCCAGGGCUCCCAGACUCCAGUCUCAGAGACCCUGAGGAGAGACCAGUGCUCCCAGUCCUGACCUGACUCCCUGGGACUCUCAACCUGCUUUUACUCUUCUACUUCUCUCUCUCUGUGUUUCUUUUUCUCCUGAAAUGUUUCAACAGUUAUGUUUUCCUUCUUGUUGCAUUGA